ensembl:rRNA 5S_rRNA 5S ribosomal RNA
AACAGCAGCCACAUCACCCUGCAGCUCACAGCUGGCAGCCCACUGAAGCUCAGCAGGUGUGAGCCUGGUCAGUACCUGGAUAGGAGAUGUAUGGGAAAGCUAAGGCUGCUGCUGGAA